GUGGGGAAUAUUGGACAAUGGGCGAAAGCCUGAUCCAACCAUGCCGCGUGUGUGAAGAAGGUCUUCGGAUUGUAAAGCACUUUAAGUUGGGAGGAAGGGCAGUAAGUUAAUACCUUGCUGUUUUGACGUUACAGACAGAAUAAGCACCGGCUAACUUCGUGCCAGCAGCCGCGGUAAUACGAAGGGUGCAAGCGUUAAUCGGAAUUACUGGGCGUAAAGCGCGCGUAGGUGGUUUUGUAAGUUGGAGGUGAAAUCCCCGGGCUCAACCUGGGAACUGCCUCCAAAACUGCAUGACUAGAGUACGGUAGAGGGUAGUGGAAUUUCCUGUGUAGCGGUGAAAUGCGUAGAUAUAGGAAGGAACACCAGUGGCGAAGGCGACUACCUGGACUGAUACUGACACUGAGGUGCGAAAGCGUGGGGAGCAAACAGGAUUAGAAACCCGAGUAGUCC
rnacentral:rRNA from 1 species